rnacentral:rRNA from 1 species
UCCUACGGGGCGCAGCAGUGAGGAAUAUUGGUCAAUGGGCGGGAGCCUGAACCAGCCAAGCCGCGUGAAGGAGGAAGGCGCCAAGCGUCGUAAACUUCUUUUGUCGGGGAACAAAGGGCGCCACGUGUGGCGUUGUGAGUGUACCCGAAGAAAAAGCAUCGGCUAACUCCGUGCCAGCAGCCGCGGUAAUACGGAGGAUGCAAGCGUUAUCCGGAUUUAUUGGGUUUAAAGGGUGCGUAGGCGGUCCGGAAAGUCAGCGGUAAAAGCCCGGGGCUCAACCCUGGCGAGCCGUUGAAACUGUCGGG